rnacentral:rRNA from 1 species
UAUGCACGCUGGCGGCGUGCCUAAUACAUGCAAGUCAAGCGAACAGACGAGGAGCUUGCUCCUCUGACGUUAGCGGCGGACGGGUGAGUAACACGUGGAUAACCUACCUAUAAGACUGGGAUAACUUCGGGAAACCGGAGCUAAUACCGGAUAACAUGUUGAACCGCAUGGUUCAACAGUGAAAGACGGUCUUGCUGUCACUUAUAGAUUGAUCCGCGCCGCAUUAGCUAGUUGGUAAGGUAACGGCUUACCAAGGCAACGAUGCGUAGCCGACCUGAGAGGGUGAUCGGCCACACUGGAACUGAGACACGGUCCAGACUCCUACGGGAGGCAGCAGUAGGGAAUCUUCCGCAAUGGGCGAAAGCCUGACGUAGCAACGCCGCGUGAGUGAAGAAGGUCUUCGGAUCGUAAAACUCUGUUAUUAGGGAAGAACAAAUGUGUAAGUAACUAUGCACGUCUUGACGGUACCUAAUCAGAAAGCCACGGCUAACUACGUG